UUAUGUAGUGUACGCGGACCUAUGAAUAUGUUAAUUGGCCCCGCCUCCACAUUCACUCGGCCAACUCACUGAGGAACUUUAAUCCAAAGUCUCAGAUGUGAUCUGACGAGAGCUUGACAACAUGACACUUGAUGACAAUCACAACAACGCGAGCAGAUCCUGCAGAUGGGAAGAUGACAGCUCUUAAUGUCACUUUAACAGCACAUAUUACAGCUCAACCGCAAAUAAAACCGACGCAAUCAAACGACACAUAAAUGAGGAACCGAGUACGGCACAAGACUCACCUAAGGAAUGUGUUUGGACCAUUACAUCCAGUCAUCAGAAGCAGAGCUGUGGGACGUGUGGACAGACAUUGACUGUAAUGAUGGACUUCUGCUGAUGGACAGACAGACUCCAGCUUCUCUACAUAGGACAAGUGUUUGGAGAAUCCUGGAUGGAGAGCAGGCAUGUGUGCAUGAAACCAGAGACCAGAUUAAUGUGUUCAUGUACCCCACCUUGUGGACACUAAGUGUAUCUGCAUUAAUAUAUGAAAACAGCAUGAAGAGGAAAGAGAUUUAAAAAAAAGUCCCUAAUCCUGCUCCUGAUGAGCCACUUUCCUGAGUUUAUCUCCAACCCUGUAAAAAACCGCUCUAGCAGCUGAACAAUAAAUUGUUGUUUUAAUGAAUGCUGUUGCUAAACUAAAAAAACAACCACAAUGAACCAUAUCAAACAUCACACAAAUGCCGUGGCUCAGUGGCUAAUCAUUUGUCUUUCAUUCAGUUCUUGGUCCAAAUCCCACAGUUGCUAAUAUUUUUAUCACAGAAAACAAAGCCCUCAAUAAACUCAAAAGAGUUCAGUAAAUAAAUGGUUGCGUUUGAAUCUUAGAUUGCCUAUGUUAAAAUGCAUAUCCAACAAACUGCACCAAACAACAGAUGAUAUUGUGAAAGCCACGAUGGUGCAGUGGUUAAACACAACACAUUUUCCAACUCUUCCUAAUCAAUCACACCUGAAUCGACUCAUCAGCUCGUUAGUAGAGACUCCAAAACCAGACAUAUAUGGGUCAGAUAAGAAAGACGUCGAGGGGUGUGCAAUGUUGGUGUGGCUCUUGGAACAGGGAUCUCUUGGUUUGAGCUGCUGGAGGUCAUGAGGAAAAGCAGUGAGUGACUUUGCAUGGAGUAUUUUGAGAGGAGCAACCGCCGAACUGUUAUGCAUCUGAGCCUUUUCCUGACUCAACCUGUUUCUGUUUUGAACUGGCAUGUUUUUGACAAUGAUCUACUUAAGUUUGUGUCCAAUAAAAUGGUAAAUGUGA